UCCCUGGUGGUCUAGUGGUUAAGACUCUGAACUUCCAAUGCAAGGGAACACAGGUUUGAUCCCUGAUCUGGGAA
rnacentral:tRNA from 1 species